ensembl:lncRNA
AAUGUGUGCAAAUUAUCUUUUCAGAUCUUCUCAGAAAUUAAUCAAGUCCAUGGAAUGGAUAUAGACAAAAAGAGAAUUCAAGGACCCUCAGAGGUAUAGAGGCGAGGCAGGGGUGAGGACAUCGUCCUGCUAUUUUGACAGUCCCUGAAGGACAAUACAGAAGAGGUAUUUGCUCUUAUUCCUUCCCUUUCUCUAAUGUAUUUUGUAAUAAAAUGAGCAAAUGUAGUAAGAUCAUUGCUUUACUUUACUAGGACUGGAGACCACAGCAGCGAUUUUACUCUUGCCCAACCUCUUCAAAGAGGACCCAAGAUUUCACCGCUCGGCGGAAAUCCAUUUCACCAUGAGAGUGAAAUCCCGCUGGCCUUUGAUGGGGAGAACAUCCUCGCCCUCGAGGACGUCCUCAUGGGACUUGGGGCUCUGCUAGGGCUGAAUUUUUUAUUUUCUCUUAAAUUUCCCCAAAAUGUCAGAAAACACUUAUGUUAAGUUACUGUGUUCUGGGGAGAAGAGAAGUUGGGGUGAAGUUACCAGAGCCGGUCAUAAAGAUGGAAAACUUCCUAACAUAACUAAGUGAAUAUGAUAUACACACUAAAGCUGAAAAAUCUGUAUUUAGCAUCAAGUCUACAAUAUUGUUAGUUUACCUAUGAUUCAUUUUUAAUGUAUGUUGUUUUUAUUGUACAUCAUCAUUUAUAUUGGUUUUAAAUGUCAUGAAAAGCACUAUACAAAAUAAAUGUAUUAUUUAUUAUGGUCUGACAUGUCUGCAGAAAUGUUGCAAUUUUGUAAUGUGUUUUGUAAAUAUUAAUUCACAUUUGUGGUGCCACUAAAAAAACAAUGAAUUAUUUAAAUCAAUAUUGUUAUUAUUAAAAUAUGUUUUUAUAAUGGAGGGAGGAGGGGGGACAGGGAGUUUAAAAAAUGAACCCCAAAAGGUUCUUUGAGGAACCAUUAUACGGGGUUCUUCAAAGAUCUUAUCGGGGUUCCCACAGAAGGUUCUUCAAAUAACUUUUAGGGGUUCCCCCACAGUUUCAAUUUUAAGAACCCCUAAAGGAUACUCCAGGAACCUUUACUUUUAGAGUGUAUAUUGAUAAAAGUCACCUUGUCUGAGAGACAUUUACAUAGUUAUACACAGCCCGAUUUGGGAUUACUAUUUUAUAUCGGCCAUAAUUUGACGUUACCUGCUGAGUGGGCAUGACCAAAGUUAUUAUAUUUAGCUACACUUUGUUGUACAUUUUUACACUAUAAUAAAUCUUUCUGAUGCCACAUCGCCCGUUUUCGAAGGGAGUCGUUGGUUUUUAGGGGCAGUCGCUUUUUAGCUUUUUGUCUGAAAGUAUUUUCUCAGCUGCGAAACCAACUCCAGUCAGCAGAUGGCGAUGUGCGUCUUUAAUGUGAUUCUGCCACUGUGACGUGUAAUCUUGUGGACGGGACGCACAAGAUUAACACACACAGUUAAUCACUUUUCUACCAGCCUGGCAGUUUCUAGCCGUUCCUCUCCUCCCUAGAUUAGAGGGAUCUUUGAAGGGGCCUCUUUCCUGUUGUCCUUUCUUGUCUCAACUCUCACAUUACCUCAUAGUGACACUAUGGUCUAGUCACACACAUUAUGGAAUUAUGACUAUCACAUUUCAUACAAUUAUAUGAUUUCAGGGUGGAGUCCUUAGUCAUUACUUUAAACAUAUAAAUGUGUGUUAUAAUAUGACUGUUUGUAUUUUUGACUUCAGAGCUCUCUGAAUAAAGAAUUAACAUUUUGCAGUAUCUGAGACUUUGCCUAAUUCUUAUUUUGAAUCCGGGAUUUACAACCUCGGGUGAAUUGGUCAAAGCUAUAAAAUAGUUCGGUUAGAACAUCGGGAGAAAAUUCUCAUGACAA